GUAGUUAGCCGGGGCUUUCUAAUGGGGUACCGUCAUUUUUUCGUCCCCCACAACAGAGGUUUACAAUCCGAAAACCUUCUUCCCUCACGCGGCGUUGCUGGGUCAGGCUUGCGCCCAUUGCCCAAUAUUCCCCACUGCUGCCUCCCGUAGGAGUCUGGACCGUGUCUCAGUUCCAGUGUGGCCGAUCAGCCUCUCAGCUCGGCUACCCAUCGCAGGCUUGGUGGGCUGUUAUCUCACCAACUACCUAAUGGGACGCGAACCCCUCCUUCAGCGGAUUGCUCCUUUGACCUCAUCCCGAUGCCGGGUCGUGGUCUUAUGCGGUAUUAGCAGUCGUUUCCAACUGUUGUCCCCCUCUGAAAGGCAGGUUCCUCACGCGUUACUCACCCGUUCGCCACUAAGCUAAAAUUUCCGUCCCGAAGGCUUUCCAUAAUAGCUCCGUUCGACUUGCAUGUGUUAGGCACGCCGCCAGCGUUCGUCCUGAGCCAGGAUCAAACUCUGA
rnacentral:rRNA from 1 species